AGAAUCUUUCGCAAUGCCCGAAAGGGUGACGAAGCAACGCCGCGUGCGGGAAGAAGGCCUUCGGGUUGUAAACCACUGUCGGGAGUUAAGAAGUGUAAGGGUGUUAAGAGCAUCCUUACUUGACGUUAGCUCCGGAGGAAGCCACGGCUAACUCUGUGCCAGCAGCCGCGGUAAUACAGAGGUGGCAAGCGUUGUUCGGAAUUAUUGGGCGUAAAGAGCACGUAGGCGGCCCUGCAAGUCAGCUGUGAAAUCCUUCUGCUCAACGGAAGAACGGCAGUUGAUACUACAGGGCUAGAGUGCGGGAGGGGAGAGUGGAACUUCUGGUGGAGCGGUGAAAUGCGUAGAUAUCAGAAGGAACAUCGGCGGCGAAAGCGACUCUCUGGUCCGUAACUGACGCUGAGGUGCGAAAGCUAGGGGAGCAAACGGGAUUAGAUACCCCGGUAGUCCUAGCCGUAAACGAUGGGCACUCGGUAGAGGGGUUUUGAUUAUCUCUCUGCCUGAGCUAACGCGUUAAGUGCCCCGCCUGGGGAGUACGGCCGCAAGGCUAAAACUCAAAAGAAUUGACGGGGGCUCGCACAAGCGGUGGAGCAUGUAGCUUAAUUCGAUGCAACACGAAGAACCUUACCGGGGCUUGACAUGGUAGAAGUAGGAGCCCGAAAGGGUAACGAACGGUAUCCAGUCCGUCACUAUCACAGGUGUUGCAUGGCUG
rnacentral:rRNA from 1 species